CCUACGGGAGGCAGCAGUCGGGAAUAUUGCGCAAUGGAGGAAACUCUGACGCAGUGACGCCGCGUGCAGGAAGAAGGUUUUCGGAUUGUAAACUGCUUUAGUCAAGGAAGAUACAAGACAGUACUUGAAGAAUAAGCACCGGCUAACUAUGUGCCAGCAGCCGCGGUAAU
rnacentral:rRNA from 1 species